GACAAAACCUGACGGGCUUUUUGUGCUGCUAAUUGCCAGAAGACCAGAAGAACUUGCUACCCUGUGCAAAGAAAUGCAAGUACUGGCAGUGCAUCAGAUGGAGAGAUUGAAAAGUUCAUCAAAAGAUGGCUGCUGCUCACUUUGGACAGAGAUGGGGGAAGAAAAGAGCGGGCCCGAAUGCAAACAAAUUCUUCCAAAGGUAUGUUCCAAAUGU